GCCUUCGUGGUUUAGUGGUUAGCACGUUCGACACGUAACGUGAGGUCCGUGGUUCGACUCCCGGCGAAGGCG
rnacentral:tRNA from 1 species